rnacentral:tRNA from 1 species
AUUAACAUGUCAGAGUAGUGAGUCAAAUUUAAGUUUUGUUUAUGGGUUUCCUGUUAAUU